rnacentral:rRNA from 1 species
UACGAAGGGGGCUAGCGUUGCUCGGAAUCACUGGGCGUAAAGUGCACGUAGGCGGCUUUUUAAGUCAGGGGUGAAAUCCUGGAGCUCAACUCCAGAACUGCCUUUGAUACUGAGAAGCUUGAGUCCGGGAGAGGUGAGUGGAACUGCGAGUGUAGAGGUGAAAUUCGUAGAUAUUCGCAAGAACACCAGUGGCGAAGGCGGCUCACUGGCCCGGUACUGACGCUGAGGUGCGAAAGCGUGGGGAGCAAACAGG